ACACAAUACUGUUGGGAAUUUGUAUUCUUUCUUUUGUUAUCAAAUCCAAUUCGGACUUUUCUACCCGAAAUUGAAGCAACAUGUGUUCAAUUUUUUUUCUUUAUUUAUACUUUCGAGCCUGUGAGAGGUUUAUUUUAUUUUAUUUAUAUUUAAAUUUAUUUUAAAAUUAAAAAAGAUAAUGGAUAGUUGUGUUUAAUUUUUUUUCUUUAUUUAUAUAUUUUUAUGCACAACAUGUGUUUAAUUCAUUGAAAGUGGGUAACGAUUUGGUUUUAGCAUUUUGGUGAAGAUUUAUGUUUUAACUGCUUGGUCUGUAAGUUUUUUAUUUAUUUAAUAAUUUCGUCACAAUUUGGGUAGGAAAAAGGAAUUUUGUUCCACCAAAACGACAGAGUAUGACUUUCAACUUGCUGCUGCCAUCUCACGUGUAGUUCUCAUUCUUUGUUCUUCUUUCUCUUCUAAUUCAUUUGCUGCUGCACAUGUGGGUUGCUCUUUUGGGAGGCUUUCCAUUCUUCUUUUGGUGAUUACGUUUGGCCAUGGAGGCGUCACCCAUCCCCACGGACACGUUUGGCAGUUGAGGCCACUGCUUUCCAAGAAGAAGCUGCUAGUUUCAAUUGCUGCCGGAGUCAAAUUGAAAGAUCAUCUGCAGGGAUAUUCAAUGUUGCCAGGAUGAGGGGCACCCUUCGAACCAGCGUGUAUACCCAUUUCUUUCCUUCAUCAAAUUUGGCCAUGAAAGAAGGAAAGAAAGAAAGGAAAGGGGAUGGCUAAGAAUAGGAGCUCCCAAAAAUCCCUGAUUUUGUGAGAUUGGGCAAAUGAGAUUUUUACCAUUAUAAGAUAAGUCAAAGGAAGGGAGAAGAAAGAAAGGGCAAAGCUUAGUCCAAUUGGAUAGAAACCAUUAAGGUUUAUUGGAAAAAAAUAGCUUCCAACGGCUAUAAAUAAAGUCUCUUAUUUAGUAAAGUCGACUCUCUCUGCGUAAAUUUUACUAAAAUAACUCUCAAUCUUCUUCUCUGAUACCGUUUUAAAAUUAGAUUAUUGAUCUCAAAACUUUUUACAAUGAAUUAAAAUGCGUAAAUUUUAUAUAUUGUGAGUCAAGGCUUCGAAUACUUUAAUUUGGGAUUUUUAUGUUCUCAACACGUACUCGUGUGUGGCUGGCUGGAACAGAUUAUGUUAGGCACGCAAUCUUGUUUGUUGCUGGAACAGAUUAUGUUAGGUAUAUGUUGGAGUACAUGUGGUCAAAUUGGGGUACAGGAUAUUUUUAGGCUUGAAAGUUUGUUGGUUCCAUAUUUUAAACUGUUCAGACAUGGAUCAAUAAUUUUUGUAUAUUAUUUGAAUGUUAACCAAUGAAAAAGUGGUUAUUUUAAGAGUC